GAUGAACGCUAGCUACAGGCUUAACGCAUGCAAGUCGAGGGGAAACGACAUCGAAAGCUUGCUUUUGAUGGGCGUCGACCGGCGCACGGGUGAGUAACGCGUAUCCAACCUGCCCACCACUUGGGGAUAACCUUGCGAAAGUAAGACUAAUACCCAAUGACGUCUCUAGAAGACAUCUGAAAGAGAUUAAAGAUUUAUCGGUGAUGGAUGGGGAUGCGUCUGAUUAGCUUGUUGGCGGGGUAACGGCCCACCAAGGCGACGAUCAGUAGGGGUUCUGAGAGGAAGGUCCCCCACAUUGGAACUGAGACACGGUCCAAACUCCUACGGGAGGCAGCAGUGAGGAAGAUUGGUCAAUGGACGAGAGUCUGAACCAGCCAAGUAGCGUGCAGGAUGACGGCCCUAUGGGUUGUAAACUGCUUUUAUAAGGGAAUAAAGUGAGUCUCGUGAGACUUUUUGCAUGUACCUUAUGAAUAAGGACCGGCUAAUUCCGUG
rnacentral:rRNA from 1 species